CCCGAUUUUUAUUAUUAUUAAAAUAUUUGGGGCAACGCCACGCCUUUGCUCUCCGCCGCGGCGGCGAAUCUUUUCAUCUCCUUCCAGAUUCGAUCUAGCAUCGACGCUUUAGCGGCUUCAUCGUCUCCUUCCUCUCGCCGCCGCCCUCCGCAUUCCAGAGGGAAUUUGGCGACGGAGAAAAGGCGACGAUGGAGAGGGAUACCUUGUCUGUCAUCGGCAACAGAAGCCAGGUCACGGGGAGCUUCCAAAAGAGCUUCCUGCAGGUGCAGAGCAUCCUGGACCAGAACAGGCUCCUGAUUAACGAGAUCAACCAGAACCACAACUCCAAAACCCCCGACGACCUCAGCCGCAACGUCGGCCUGAUUCGAGAGCUCAACAACAACAUCCGCCGCGCCGUCGAUCUCUAUGGUGAUCUAUCCGUCUCCUUCGCUGACUCCAUGGGCGGCCACAAGAGGAACACAGCUAUAUAAAGAGUCGAUUCAAUUAGAAAGAGGCAGUAGAGGAUGAGACAGUUUACACUUGCUUGGAUACAAAAAACAGUGUAUAAGCUUGGAGAUGAUAGAUCACACAGAAACAUAACAGAUUAUUAUUUA